rnacentral:rRNA from 1 species
GACAGAGGUGCCGAGCGUUAGGCGGAAUCACUGGGCUUAAAGCGUGUGUAGGCGGAUCGUUAAGUACCUUGUGAAAUCCCACGGCUCAACCGUGGAACUGCUGGGUAUACUGGCGGUCUUGAGCCACCUAGGGGCGAGCGGAACAAGCGGUGGAGCGGUGAAAUGCGUAGAUAUCGCUUGGAACGCCAACGGUGAAAACAGCUCGCUGGGGGUGUGCUGACGCUGAGACACGAAAGCCAGGGGAGCAAACGGG